CUACGGACUUAAUUGGAUUGAGCCUUAAUAUGGAAACCUACUAAGUGAUAACUUUCAAAUUCAGGGAAACCCUGGAAUAAAAAAUGGGCAAUCCUGAGCCAAAUCCUGUUUUCCGAAAACAACCAAGGGUUCAGAAAACGAUAAUAAAAAAAGGAUAGGUGCAGAGACUCAAUGGAAGCUGUUCUAACAAAAACAAAUGGAGUUGACUAUGUUGCGUUGUUAAACGAAUCCUUCCAUCAAAACUCCAGAACCAGAAAGGAUGAAGGAUAAACCUAUAUACAUAGGUACUGAAAUAUUAUAUCAAAUGAUUAAUGAUGGCUCGAAUCUGUAUUUUUUGAUAUGAAAAAUGAAAGAAUUGUUGUAAAUCGAUUCCAAGUUGAAGAAAGAAAAGAAUCGAAUAUUCAUUGAUCAAAUCAUUCACUCCAUAGUCCGAUAGAUCUUUUGAAGAACUGAUUAAUCGGACGAGAAUAAAGAUAGAGUCCCAUUCUACAUGUCAAUACCGA
rnacentral:ncRNA from 1 species